UGACUAGUUUGCGUGUCAAACUCG
rnacentral:miRNA from 1 species